rnacentral:ncRNA from 2 species
ACUACAAUUAUAGCGCCCGGACUUGGCUUAGACUGAGUUGACGAGGAAGAGGUGAUCGAAAUUUCGGCGGAUACCUCUAGGUAUAGUUAGAUACCUUAAUUAAUCUUUAAAACUUAUAGGUGACUAUAAGGACAAAGAAGGUUAAACUAACAAAU